rnacentral:lncRNA from 10 species
UGGGGCCGGACAGUUCUUGGCAGAGUCUGAGGGCUUGAGUCUGGGGGAGCCUGGCUGCCCAGAGGUGGCAGAUGACAUGAAGAAAUAACCAUGUAAGGGCUGGCUGUGUAUGAGAGCAAGCAUUGGGAAGGAUGAAUGCCAACUAUGUUCCAGGAACUUCCACUGUUCUCACACACCCAGGUGAGUGGUGUUCAGGUGGGUGGCACCCAGGUGAGUGACAUCCCAGUUGAGUGGCACCCAGGUGAGUAGCAUCCAGGUGAGUGACACCUAGGUGAGUGACAUUCAGGUUAGUGGCGUCUGUGUGAGUGGCAUCAUCCAGGUGAGUAGCUUCCAGGUGAGUGGCACCCAGGUGAGUGGCAUUCGGGUGAGUGGCAUUAUCCAGGUGACACCUGGGUGAGUGGCAUCCAGGUGAGUGAUAUCAUCCAGGUAAGUGGCACCUAGGUGACAUCCAGGUGAGUGACGACAUCCAGGUGAGUGACAUCAUCCAGGUAAAUGGCACCCAGGUGAGUAGCAUUCAGGUGAGUGACACCCAGGCGAGUGGCAUCCACGUGACUAGCAUUGUCCAGGUGCAUAACACCCAGGUGAGUGGCACCCAGUUGAGUGGUGCCCAAGUGAGUCACAUCCAGGUAAGUGGGGUCCAGGUGGUGGCACCCAGGCGAGUGGUGCCCAGGUGAGUGACAGCCAGGUGAAUGGUGUCCAGGUGAGUGGCAUCACCCAGGUGAAUGGUGUCCAGGUGAGUGGCAUCCAGGUAAGUGGUGUCCAGGUGGUGGCACCCAGGUGAGUGGUGUCCAGGUGAGGGGCAUCACCCAGGUGAAUGGUGUCCAGGUGAGUGGCAUCCAGGUGGGUGGUACCGUCGACGUGACAAUAGCUAAAAAUUAUUGGGCUCAUUGUGGACAGGCACUGUGCCGAGCUUGACAUCACUGAACUCAGUUCAUCCUCGCCAGGAGCUUGUGGGCCGUCCCUAGAUCAGAAUCCGAGGAGAAAGGACUUCCACACGGCAGCCAGCGAGCUGGAGGGCGGCCUCCUGCCACCACCAGGCUCCCUAACCCAGUCCUGGAUAUCUGUGAAAGAAUGAGUGGAUCCCCACAGGCCAGCACCAGGAGAUCAGAACCUUCUGGAAUCUUAAUAUGCGAGGACUCGGUGGAGAAGGCGGCACUGAAGAAGAGUCGUCCCUAGGCCAGGCUGGAGGGAAACUCAAGACGGCGGCCUGGCCCUCCUGGGUGGCGGAAGUGGGAGCAGCAGGAGCCCUGGCGGAUCCGGGAGGCCAGAAGAGCGGAAGCUUCCUCCCCUCUCAGGACAGCCACAAGGACUUUCGGGGGUCGUGGCAGCUGCUCCACUUCCAACUUCCAGAUCCCUCUCACUUUCCUCUUCCCACCAACUCCAACCUGGGACCAAGCAGGGGAAAGCAGCUGCAGCCCAGCUUGACGCCCCUGCAAAUGGAGACCUGUGCACCUGGUUGUGAGCAUUUUAAAGGGUGUCACACAGGGCAUACCCUUCGGUGCCUGGAUUCCUUUGAUGAAAGGGCAAAGCCUUGAACCUAAGUCAUCUUCGAGUCCUCAGCACUUCACCCAGAGCCUGGCACACAGUAGGAGCACAGAAAGGUUUACAUCCAGCAGGAGUUGGCCCUGAGCUCUGAGUCCAGAUCAUUGCUCUUGGCUGAAGCAGCCUGUCUACUCACAAAGAUGAGCAUGGUCCCUGCCACGAGGAAACUCGUGGUCCUGUGGACUGCGGUGUGGAGGGAAAGCUUGGGAUUCUGAGCCUGAUAAUGCACCAUUACAUCCCCACUCACUCGGGCUGUGUGAACCCAGCAAGUCACAGGAUCACUGGGUGGUGAAAGAAAGAAACACUCACAGAAGCGUCUGUGCUUGGAGAGCCAUCUGGUCCGUCAUUGUGACUGCUGCUCUCAUUGCUAUCAUGGGUGUCACCAUUGCCAUCACUCAAGGACUUCUCUCCAGGCCCCGAAGCCAAGCUGGUGCCUGGUUCCUCUGGGUUGGGAGAGGGGCUGGGCAUGGACAGGAGGAGGGAAAAGGGACCUGUGCUAGCAGGUGAUGCCAUCCAAGACAUCUGCAUCCUAAUCCCUGGAACCUGGGAUUCCACUAGGUGCCAUGGCAAAGAGGGAUUAAGGUGGCAGGUGGAGUGAAGGUUGCUAAUCAGCCGACCUUAAAGUAGGGAGAUGAUCCUGAAUGAGACAAAAGAGAGAACCAGUCAUGGUGUCAUGAGAAGGACUCAAAAUGCAACUGCUGACUUUGAAGAUUAAGGGGCUACAAACCAAGGAACGUGGUAGUCUCUGGAAAAGACAAGGAAUAGACGCUGCGUUGGGGCCACCAGAAGGAACCAGCCCUGUCAACACCCUAAUUUUAGCCCAGUGAGGCCUGUGCUGGACUUCUGACCUCCAGAACUGUAAACUAAUAAAUGUGUGUUGUUUCUGCCACUAGAUUUGUGGGAAUUUGUUAGGGCAGGCAUAAGAAACUGAUACUGUGGUAUUCCCUGCUGUGUCCCCAGGACCUCGUGGCCAGUAGGCUCACAAAAAAUAUCUAUUUAAUGGACAAACAUCGUGAAGGAAAUGCUUUUCUGUGAGCCUACCGUGUGCCAGUUUUUUGACACUGUGUGAGUUGUCAGAUUCAGCAAAUAAAAAUACAGAAUGCCCAGGUAGAGUUGAAUUUUAGAUAAACAACACACC